GUGCCAGCAGCCGCGGUAACACGGGGGGAGCAAGCGUUGUCCGGAAUUACUAGGCGUAAAGGGCAAGUAGGCGGAAGAAUUAGUCAGGUGUUAAAGGCGUCGGCUCAACCGGCGUACGGCAUUUGAUACUGUUUUUCUAGAGUAAGGUGGGGGAAGACGGAAUUCCUGGUGUAGCGGUGGAAUGCGGAGAUAUCAGGAAGAACACCGGUGGCGAAGGCGGUCUUCUAUACCAUUACUGACGCUCAAUUGCGAAGGUGGGGGUAUCGAACAGGAUUAGAUACCCUGGUAGUCC
rnacentral:rRNA from 1 species